CGGCACCGGCAGCGGCUGCAGCCCGGGGGUCACGGGCGGCGUGAGGGGGACCCAGUGCGGAUGGAUAAACGGGGGCUCAUGAUCCGCCCUCUCCAUGGAAGGGGCUGAACGCAAGCUUUGGAACAGAAUUAAACAAAGUGGCUGAGAUCAGCUGGCGUAUUUCUCUUCAGUAAUACUGCAUUGGAGCAGAGGGAACAGAAAAUGCAGUUAAAAGGGAUCUGGAUUUGUAGUGAUCCAAACCAGCUGGGAAAAAGAAGUGCAUAGUUUUGAAAUGAACUCCCACUGCUAAUGGGAAAGGUUAAAAUAUUGCAAGUGGUUCUUUUAUAAUCUUCCACGUUUUUGGCUACAUACCCUGAUGCUCCUUGAGCAGCUCCAAAACUGGAAGACUUGUGUCUUUCUCCCUGCAUGAAUUCUGACAGAGACAAGUUCUGAACAAUACUGCCUUCAUUCAAGUCAGGAUAGAAUGAUAUGGAAUUCAGUAUCUCGCUCCAAAUUCAUUUCAUGACUGGAGAUUUCAUUUUUACAACUGUGUUUUAAAAUAUUGUAUUAUUUUAAAAUAAAAAUGUUAAUAUAUAGCAGUGUGAGUAAGAAGCUGAAUUUUCGUACCUGGAGUCUAUCAUAGAGUAAGAUUACCAAAUAUACCUAUUGAACAGCAAGGGCCAAUAUGCACUUCUGAAUAAUCAGUGUUACAUAUAGGAAUACAUUCAACUUCUGUCUGCCAUUUUAAAAGAAGAUUCUUGAUGUGUGUUCAAUGAGGUUGUUCUUCCCAAAGCAAACCUUCCUGGAAGAAUGGGAAAUUGCACUAGGUAGUUAGUGUAUGAAGUAGCUAAUUUUUUUGUUAGCUGUAUGAUGUGUUUUUAUUCAAACUCAGCUAAUUUUAUUUAAUCUACCUUCUGUUCAUUUACUUGAAUGCUGUAUCCCCAGACUCAUUAAGAAGAGUUUAAUGAGGUAGAAAUCCAUUUAAAAUGAGAGGGUUUUCCAUAUAUAUUUGUGAUAUAAAUUGAUUGUUAAGGAAAAUGGAUUUCGCUACAGUCUGAGCAAAUUAUAAUAAGCAGAUUAUAGAGGGCUAUAAUAUAUAAGGAUAUUGAUUGUUA